GAAGAAUAGGAAUGCAGGAAAGAAUAAAGAGAAAAAGAAAUAGUAAAUAUAAAAGACUAUUGACUGUUUAAAGCAACAUUAAUAACAGUGCUUUGUGGAUGAAAUAAAAGUAGAGAUGAAAUAAAUUACCCAA